UACGAAGGGUGCAAACGUUGCUCGGAAUUACUGGGCGUAAAGCGCACGUAGGCGGCUUUGUAAGUUAGAGGUGAAAGCCCAGGGCUUAACCCUGGAAUUGCCUUUAAGACUGCAUCGCUAGAAUCGUGGAGAGGUGAGUGGAAUUCCGAGUGUAGAGGUGAAAUUCGUAGAUAUUCGGAAGAACACCAGUGGCGAAGGCGACUCACUGGACACGUAUUGACGCUGAGGUGCGAAAGCGUGGGGAGCAAACAGG
rnacentral:rRNA from 1 species